CUAAGCCUAUUUUUAACACCACCAAUACAACUCCUUGCAUUACCGGUCCCAAGCCCGGGUAAAGGAGGAGGGAGAAUGGGCAUCAAGGUGAGUUGUGUACUUUUCCUUCAUUUUCUGAGAGGGAUUUUUAAAAUGUUUGAUGGUUAAUUUCAAUAGUUUUCUGGCUUCUUCUACUAUCAUUUGAGGACCUCAAAGGCCCAACUAACUUGAGAUUUUGAUAUGCAGGCUGAUGUAUUUUUAGCCCCACAGAUCAAUGUUGCCACUACAAGGUUCAAUAUUGAAAUGCUAGGUACAACAUUGGUGCAGUUAUCUUGCUCUGGGCACCUGUAGUCUUGAUUGCAUUGUGGAAUAUGCAUCCAUUAUUCAAAGAAAGGAUGACAUUCCAAGCACCCACACUUUCUUUCCUUGCUAGCUAAAUUGGCUGACAAGCUAAAGAAGUCAGUGGAGGAUGAAAUUCAUUUUCUCAAAUGAAGGAUUUUAGAACUUGAAAGUGAUCUUGUGUCAAAGUCCACAGAAGUUACAUUUGCAGUUUCAAGGAAAGAAGAAGCUCUAUCUUCUACAUUUGCUGAAAUUGACCGUCUGAAGGAAGAAAAUUCUGUAAAAACGUGAGCAUUAUUGAAUGCAUAUGGAGGGUGUUUACUAUGUUGGAGUGUAUUUGUUUCUUGCACAUGAGGGCACACCUUAGUUGUAAUUCUUAUGAUAGGUUGAGCAAAGUGAAGUAUUGUUUAUUUAGAAAUGUGAAUGUAGGAUGCAUUGUAUGAUUUGAUUGCUAUUUAUAAUAAAUGCAUCAUUUUUUUUCU